ACAUCGACUAAUUGUAAGUCGCUCUGGAUAAGAGCGUCUGCUAAAUGAUUACUA
rfam:Salmo salar isolate Sally breed double haploid chromosome ssa23, whole genome shotgun sequence.